CACGUAGGGGGCGAGCGUUGUCCGGAUUUAUUGGGCGUAAAGAGCUCGUAGGCGGUCUGUCGCGUCGAAUGUGAAAACCCGGGGCUCAACUCCGGGCUUGCAUUCGAUACGGGCAGGCUAGAGUUCGGUAGGGGAGUCUGGAAUUCCUGGUGUAGCGGUGAAAUGCGCAGAUAUCAGGAGGAACACCGGUGGCGAAGGCGGGUCUCUGGGCCGUAACUGACGCUCAUGCACGAAAGCGUGGGGAGCAAACAGG
rnacentral:rRNA from 1 species